rnacentral:lncRNA from 13 species
CUAGACUUUAGGUGGAGGAGAGCCAUGAUCAGACUUAUAUUUUGAAAACAUCACCUUGUGCAGAAAACAGAUUGUAGGGCAACAAGCGUCACGGGACAGUCCAGAAACCAUGGCAGUAGUUCAGGCAACAGACAAUUGCAUGAAUUUGAUGGUAGAGAUGGAGAAUCGAAUGAACUCCAGAGAUGUUUAAGACGGGGUGAUAUACUUUGGAUAUGGUUUAUUUGACCCUGCCAAACUUCGUGUUGAAAUGUGACCCCCCAAUGUUGAAAGUGGGGCCUGUGCGAGGUGUUUGGGUCAUGGGGGCUGAUCCCUUAUGAAAGGCUUGGUGCUGUCCUGGCAGUAAUGAGUGAGUUCUGUUAGUCUGGAGAGAACUGAUUGUUAAGAAGAGCCUGUCAACUUCUCCUCCCCCGACCCCUGCUUUCUUUCUUGCAGGAUGAUUCCUCCUGGUCUCUGCCAUGAGUGGAAACUUCCUCAGUUCCUCACCAGAAGAUGCUGACACCAUGCUUCUUAUACGAACCCUCAGGUAUAGCAACGUUGAUGGACUCCUACAGGUGGGAUGGACAGAGCUUGGCCAUGGACUAGGUAUGGCGGAUGAAGAGGGAGAUAUGGCUGACACCCAGAUUUUUAGCACGAACUACAGGAUGGAUGGUGGCCAUUCACUGAGCACCCAAAAGCUAGCUGUUGUAGGCAUGCAGUAA